rnacentral:rRNA from 1 species
CCCUUAGAUGUCCGGGGCUGCACGCGCGCUACACUGAAGGAAUCAGCGUGCUAGAAAACCUUGUUUGACAUGGCUAGGUAACCCGUUGAAAAUCUUUCGUGAUUGGGAUCGGGACUUGCAAAUGUGUCCCUUGAACGAGGAAUUCCCAGUAAGUGCGGGUCACAAGCUCGCGCUGAUUACGUCCCUGCCCUUUGUACACACCGCCCGUCGCUGCCCGGAACUGAGCCGUUUCGAGAAGACUGGGGACUGCGAACUUUGGGCUGGAAAACAGCUUUUUGUUUGUGGAAACCACUUUAAUCGCAGCGGCUUGAACCGGGCAAAAGUCGUAACA